CACUCUGACCCAGCCAUGCCGCGUGCAGGAAGACUGCCCUAUGGGUUGUAAACUGCUUUUAUACAGGAAGAAACACUCGUACGUGUACGAGCUUGACGGUACUGUAAGAAUAAGGACCGGCUAACUCCGUGCCAGCAGCCGCGGUAAUACGGAGGGUCCGAGCGUUAUCCGGAAUCAUUGGGUUUAAAGGGUCCGCAGGCGGUCAAUUAAGUCAGAGGUGAAAUCCCAUAGCUUAACUAUGGAACUGCCUUUGAUACUGGUUGACUUGAGUCAUAUGGAAGUAGAUAGAAUGUGUAGUGUAGCGGUGAAAUGCAUAGAUAUUACACAGAAUACCGAUUGCGAAGGCAGUCUACUACGUAUGUACUGACGCUCAUGGACGAAAGCGUGGGGAGCGAACAGGAUUAGAUACCCUGGUAGUCCACGCCGUAAACGAUGGACACUAGUUGUUGGGCAUUAGCUCAGUGACUAAGCGAAAGUGAUAAGUGUCCCACCUGGGGAGUACGAUCGCAAGAUUGAAACUCA
rnacentral:rRNA from 1 species